rnacentral:rRNA from 1 species
GACGAACGCUGGCGGCGUGCUUAACACAUGCAAGUCGAACGAAGAGCGAUGGAAGCUUGCUUCUAUCAAUCUUAGUGGCGAACGGGUGAGUAACGCGUAAUCAACCUGCCCUUCAGAGGGGGACAACAGUUGGAAACGACUGCUAAUACCGCAUACGAUCUGACCUCGGCAUCGAGGAUAGAUGAAAGGUGGCCUCUACAUGUAAGCUAUCACUGAAGGAGGGGAUUGCGUCUGAUUAGCUAGUUGGAGGGGUAACGGCCCACCAAGGCGAUGAUCAGUAGCCGGUCUGGGAGGAUGGACGGCCACAUUGGGACUGAGACACGGCCCAGACUCCUACGGGAGGCAGCAGUGGGGAAUCUUCCGCAAUGGACGAAAGUCUGACGGAGCAACGCCGCGUGAGUGAUGACGGCCUUCGGGUUGUAAAGCUCUGUUAAUCGGGACGAAAGGCCUUUUUGCGAAUAGUGAGAAGGAUUGACGGUACCGGAAUAGAAAGCCACGGCUAACUACGUG